rnacentral:rRNA from 1 species
GGUGGUAGGGAGUCCGAAAGGUGACCGACCCUUCGGGAGCCAUUACAGGUGUUGCAUGGCUGUCGUCAGCUCGUGUCGUGAGAUGUUCGGUUAAGUUCGCUAACGAGCGCAACCCUCGCUGUGUGUUAUAUGUGUCACACAGGACUGCUGGGUAUUAAGCCGGAGGAAGGUGGGGACGACGUCAAGUCAGCAUGACCUUUAUAUCCAGGGCUACACACACGCUACAAUGGUCAGUACAAUGGGUUGCCAAGCCGCGAGGCGGAGCCAAUCCUAAAAAGCUGGCCUCAGUUCAGAUUGCAGUCUGAAACUCGACUGCAUGAAGUCGGAGUUGCUAGUAAACGCAGGUCAGCUAUACUGCGUUGAAUACGUUCCCGGGGCUU